UCGGUUUACUUUGUGCUUUUGAAAGUAGAUGAGCGCCAGAGACAUAAAGAAAACACCCUCCUGAGCUGGCAGCCUGGGUGAUGAGUUAUUGAUCCCUUUCCACAUGCACAGCACAGGUUAAGGUGGGGAGGCCUGUGGGCAGGGAAGGUGCAAGAAAGUAGAAAAAGCUAUUGGCUCCUUCCACAUUUACGCACAGAUCACAUGACAAAUGUCAUUUAGGAGGGGCCACUUUCGUGCUGGGGUAGGAGAAAAGAAAUCAUCUGGCCUCAAAGGACGAGAAGCACAAAAUGCAACACUGGAAACUGCUGGAAUGCUGGCUUCUGCCGACAGACUUCACUUUCAAUGCUGUUCUCAAUGAAUCAGUUAAAUGCUUUUUGCAGCAAAUUAAGACCUAGCAAAAUGGAUUCCUUACUUCUUACAGUGUUAUAUACGGCCUCACCCUGACAGUCUUGUGUUUCCGGGGAAGGCAACCAUGUGUACACUUGCCUCUGCACAGCUCUGGAAGGAAAACCAGGCAGUUCCCGAAAGAACAGCAUUUGUGAUCCCAUCAAGGUUACUAAAUCAAUCUACUGAAAGCAUAAAAUUCUUCUGACCCCUUGCUGCAGUUUGGACUCAGGUGUUUCUUGUCUGCUAUCAAGGAAGAACAUAUUCUAGCCCUUUAAUGAAAAUAGUUGAGGCCUGAAUCCAUCCCUCUGUUGAUCCUUGGUCUUUUUUUCAUUUUAUUUCCUAAGAAUGGGUUAUUUUGCCUUUACGAGUUUUAUCAUGAACCACUGGAAAAAAAGAGGAGCCCUAUGGAAGGAAGGGCUCCUCCUCUAGGAGAUCUAAUCUGUAAUGAAAUGAUCAGAUGGAAGUGCCAGAGCCCUGCUGAUCUGGCUCUCACCCUUUGGGACUUGGGAUGAAUCUGGAGUCUGAGGGUGCCCUCUGGGCCCUGCUAACCCACAGCAGAUGCUCCUCUGGGUGCUGUGACAGCACUGGGCUACAGGUGCCAUUCGUUUGUGACUCCGCUACUGGAAGUGUGAGGUCCUGGACAACAGGGACCAUAAAAUGCCACAUAGUACAGCGCUCAAGGCCACAGGCUUUGCAGUCAGACAGCCUGGAUUCUACAACUUCACAGAAUGUUACCUCAGGCACUUUACUUAGCCUUGCUAAUCAUCACUUUCUUUAUCUGUGAAACAGAGAUACUUAUUUCCUGGGCUGGUCAUCGUGCCUGGCACAUAACAAAUGUCCAACAAACCAUAAUUACUAAUGGUGAAAUGAGUCACUGUAGAAUCCUGAGCACCUGCCUGGUAGAAGGUACUGAGAAAAUAUCUGCUCAAUAAAUGAAGUAAAGCAACACAAUGGUCGUAUUUAUAUAUGAUUUUAUUAUUUUGUUAAACUAUCAGAUGCUAAAAGUCUAAAGAAGCAACUUAUUUUUCUUUUAAAUACUUCACUAAGGGAUGAUAAUCAUGAGUCUCAUUAGAUAUAAUAAAAGUUAAUAAAGAUAACUGCAA